rnacentral:rRNA from 1 species
AGUGAACGCUGGCGGUAGGCCUAACACAUGCAAGUCGAACGGCAGCACAGUAAGAGCUUGCUCUUACGGGUGGCGAGUGGCGGACGGGUGAGGAAUACAUCGGAAUCUACUUUUUCGUGGGGGAUAACGUAGGGAAACUUACGCUAAUACCGCAUACGACCUACGGGUGAAAGCAGGGGAUCUUCGGACCUUGCGCGAUUGAAUGAGCCGAUGUCGGAUUAGCGAGUUGGCGGGGGAAAGGCCCACCAAGGCGACGAUCCGUAGCUGGUCUGAGAGGAUGAUCAGCCACCGUGGAACUGAAACACGGUCCGGACUCCUACGGGAGGCAGCAGUGGGGAAUAUUGGACAAUGGGCGCAAGCCUGAUCCAGCCAUACCGCGUGGGUGAAGAAGGCCUUCGGGUUGUAAAGCCCUUUUGUUGGGAAAGAAAAGCAGCAGGUUAAUACCCCGCUGUUCUGACGGUACCCAAAGAAUAAGCACCGGCUAACUUCGUG